GGCGAGAGCAGCAGCCCCCACAGCGCGGCCCACAGCAGCGCGACGGCACUCAUCUUCCUCCGCCGCCGCUCGCCACGGGCCUCGGCUGCGCUCGGGCUCCCCGCGCCGCCGCCGGCUCACGGGCAGGCGCCACUUCCUCUUCCGCCCGACGGGGGCGGUUGCUGCCGCCGCCGCCGCCAGGCCGGGCCCAGCCGAGGGGCGAAGGGGGCUGUGGCGAGGAGGGUCAGGAUGGCCUACGCGUGUUCCCGCUGACGGCCGGGGCUGGCACCAGCCCCAAGCCCGCCACAGAGGACACCUUGUUGAUGUUCUGGGAGGUCAACAGAUGUCGGGCUUCCACCCAGCAGCUCCAGGAGGGGAAAUGGUCGGGUUUGCCCCACACACGUCUAAGUGUUUUACGUCUGUUUGUCUUUCCAGGUCAUCAGGCGCACACACAUAAGCCACGGGAGAGGGGUAGUGGUGAGGGCAGUGCUACGUCUUCAGCGAGAGCAACGAGAAACAGCAAAACGUGAUCCGUAACAAAAAGUUGAGGGAGCUGCAUUGUUUGCACUUAAAAGAGCAUCUCAGAGAUAACUGCACACCGUGACAUAGCUACUAAUUCAUAUCCCAUGGAGAACUGGUAUUCAAAAAAAACCCUACUCCUGCAUGGUCCAUCUGCAUUGUUUCUAUUUUGGUGCUGUUGUCAGAGUAACCAUGACACUUUACGACAACUUCUUCUGAAUCUAGCAAGUGCUUCAUAUUUUCAUGGCAUUUUGGCUGAAGCCUGGACCAAGACAGCACUGUGAAACAAACCUAUUGAUUAAAGUGAUACAGGGAACAUUGUUACUGAACCUGCUGUCUCUGCAAGACACACAUGGCAAAGACAGAUCACUGUGAAGAGAUUAAUUACUGGUUAUCAGUGUAGUCUUCAUUCAUCUUUAGAAUCAGCUCAGGAUUAAAACUGUGUUAAGAGAACUCCCUUCCAAUGGAACUACAGUUUUGUGUAGCAUUUUAGGAUUUUGGUCAUGCUAAGGAGAUGCACAGAAACACAACGUAUGGACAGACAGGCAACAAAGCUGGUGAAGGAAUUGGGGCGUAAAUCUGGUGAGAAGCAGCUGAGGCACCUGGGGCUGUUUAGCCUGAAGAAGAGCUGGCUGAGAGGAGACAUGGUCACUCUCUACAACUACCUGAAAGGAGCUUGUAGUGAGGUGGGAGUUGGUCUCUUUUCCCAGGUAACGAGAGGAAAUGGCCUCAAGUUACACCAGAAGAGGUUUAAAUUGGGUAUUAGGAAGAACUUUGCC